ACGCACGCUGGCGGCAGGCCUCACACAUGCAAGUCGAGCGGACCUUUCGGGGUCAGCGGCGGACGGGUGAGUAACGCGUGGGAAUAUGCCCUUCUCUACGGAAUAGUCCUGGGAAACUGGGGGUAAUACCGUAUACGCCCUUUGGGGGAAAGAUUUAUCGGGGAAGGAUUAGCCCGCGUUGGAUUAGGUAGUUGGUGGGGUAAUGGCCUACCAAGCCGACGAUCCAUAGCUGGUUUGAGAGGAUGAUCAGCCACACUGGGACUGAGACACGGCCCAGACUCCUACGGGAGGCAGCAGUGGGGAAUCUUAGACAAUGGGGGCAACCCUGAUCUAGCCAUGCCGCGUGAGUGAUGAAGGCCUUAGGGUUGUAAAGCUCUUUCAGCUGGGAAGAUAAUGACGGUACCAGCAGAAGAAGCCCCGGCUAACUCCGUG
rnacentral:rRNA from 1 species